ACCUCGUCUAGGUCUUGUAUUCUGUUUUACUCGUUGCUCGGUCCACUCUCAUUGGUGUACCUCAGGCUGGGUUCUCCGACCUCAAUGGGUAUGACUGUGUUGGUAUUGUAAACCAGUUAUUAUGGUGUCUCACAUGUGCUGGUUUUUGUUGUUCUGUGGUAGGCCCAUAACACCUCUAGUAGAAGUUGCGGCCAUAGCCCUUUGGCAUUC
rnacentral:lncRNA from 1 species